UGUGURACACCCAAUAUAAAUAGGACAACAGAGGCGCGGAGUUUAUUCAUCCAGAUCCAUUCUAGUACUUACUUACAAGUGAAGAAACAAGGUACUCAACUGCUGAAGAUAACGUAUCAUCAACAUUAACCAUGGUUUCCAAGGUAACGCUUUCUGUUCUUAUUGUGGCGGUUUUAUUGAUCGCCGAAACAAAAUGCGCACCAGCAAAUGAAGCCAACAGGCGACUUGUCCGCUCAUACUGGAAAUCGCUAGCAUGCUCAAUGGGUCAACCUUGUGAUCCAAACGAUUCCACUACAUGUCGGUGUGAAGGAAAGCACACAGUCUGCCGAGUCAUCGACCAGGGUUCAACGCAUUAUUGCGUUCUGUCAGGAGACGUAAGACCUCAGUAAUAACCUGACCCAGCCAAACGUCGAAAUUACGUACGAGAAUGCGUACAGCAAUGGCUAGCCUUUGUUUUGGUUACCUAUGGUCUUUAGUCAAUUGUAACUACAUCGAACAACGGUCAUCAUGCACAUGCAUUUUUAGCAUUAAAUAUUAAAUAUCCUUGUUGAACUAUU